rnacentral:tRNA from 1 species
CGCGGGCUGGAGCAGCUUGGUAGCUCGUCGGGCUCAUAACCCGAAGGUCGUCGGUUCAAAUCCGGCCCCCGCAACCA